AUGCAAAUGGUCACGUGCGGUCGUACUGCCGUGAACAUCAACUGCGAGAUUGGCCCUUUCUUCCGCACCCUAUGUGGGGUCAGACAAGGCGAUCCUUUCUCCCCGUUCUUGUUCAAUAUGGUCGUGGACGCGCUAGCAUCCAUCCUUGAUAAGGCAAAAGCCGCGGGCCAUAUCCGUGGGAUCACCCCCCACCUUGUCGGGGGCUCUGGGAUAUCCAUUCUCCAGUAUGCCGACGACACUAUCAUUAUGGUU
rnacentral:rRNA from 1 species